UGCAGUCGGACGGUAGCACAGAGGAGCUUGCUCCUCGAGUGACGAGUGGCGGACGGGUGAGUAAUGUCUGGGGAUCUGCCCGAUAGAGGGGGAUAACCACUGGAAACGGUGGCUAAUACCGCAUAACGUCGCAAGACCAAAGAGGGGGACCUUCGGGCCUCUCACUAUCGGAUGAACCCAGAUGGGAUUAGCUAGUAGGCGGGGUAACGGCCCACCUAGGCGACGAUCCCGAGCUGGUCUGAGAGGAUGACCAGCCACACUGGAACUGAGACACGGUCCAGACUCCCACGGGAGGCAGCAGUGGGGAAUAUUGCACAAUGGGCGCAAGUGAUGCAGCCAUGCCGCGUGUAUGAAGAAGGCCUUCGGGUUGUAAAGUACUUUCAGCGGGGAGGAAGGCAGUGAGGUUAAUAACCUUACUGAUUGACGUUACCCGCAGAAGAAGCACCGGCUAACUCCGUGCCAGCAGCCGCGGUAAUACGGAGGGUGCGAGCGUUAAUCGGAAUUACUGGGCGUAAAGCGCACGCAGGCGGUCUGUUAAGUCAGAUGUGAAAUCCCCGGGCUUAACCUGGGAACUGCAUUUGAAACUGGCAGGCUUGAGUCUCGUAGAGGGGGGUAGAAUUCCAGGUGUAGCGGUGAAAUGCGUAGAGAUCUGGAGGAAUACCGGUGGCGAAGCGGCCCCCUGGUACGAAGACUGACGCUCACGUGCGAAACGGUGGGGAGCACACAGGAUUAGAUAACGCGAUAAGUCGACCGCCUGGGGAGUACGGCCGCAAGGUUAAAACUCAAAUGAAUUGACGGGGGCCGCACAAGCGGAGGAGCAUGUGGUUUAAUUCGAUGCAACGCGAAGAACCUUACCUACUCUUGACAUCCACGGAAUUCGGCAGAGAUGCCUUAGUGUUUCGGGAACCGUGAGACAGGUGCUGCAUGGCUGUCGUCAGCUCGUGUUGUGAAAUGUUGGGUUAAGUCCCGCAACGAGCGCAACCCUUAUCCUUUGUUGCCAGCGAUUCGGUCGGGAACUCAAAGGAGACUGCCGGUGAUAAACCGGAGGAAGGUGGGGAUGACGUCAAGUCAUCAUGGCCCUUACGAGUAGGGCUACACACGUGCUACAAUGGCGCAUACAAAGAGAAGCGACCUCGCGAGAGCAAGCGGACCUCAUAAAGUGCGUCGUAGUCCGGAUCGGAGUCUGCAACUCGACUCCGUGAAGUCGGAAUCGCUAGUAAUCGUGGAUCAGAAUGCCACGGUGAAUACGUUCCCGGGCCUUGUACACACCGCCCGUCACACCAUGGGAGUGGGUUGCAAAAGAAGUAGGUAGCUUAACUCCGGGUGGGCGA
rnacentral:rRNA from 1 species